GGUGGCUCAGUGGUAGAGUGUUUGCCUUGCAUGCAUAAGGCCCUGGGUUCGAUUCCUCAGUACUA
rnacentral:tRNA from 1 species